CGUGCAUAUUUAUUCUUGUUACAUGAAUGUGUUAAUAUGAAAAUACUGAACAUGUAACACUUCAACAAAAGCAUCCAACACUGACACUUUCCCUCAUUUACUAGUUUUUGUUAAGGAACGAUAAUGUAUUUGCUGUUUUCCCCUUUAGUCUGUUGGCAUUUUUGCACAG